rnacentral:lncRNA from 1 species
UCCAAAUGAAAUCUCUUCACUUCAAACAACUCCUACACUUUCAGAAAGGCACCAUGAGUGUUUGGAAAGUCUAUAUAAAUGCUAUAACUCUCACAACACAAACACACAACAAUACAUAACUCUUAUAAAAUUUCCAAAAGCUCUUAAACUUAUUUUGAAGUUAUUUCUCUACACUUUUUGCAACUAGCACUCAAACUUUCAAAAGUUAUUUUUCUGAAGUUGCUUAGAAGUGUUUCAAAGCUUUCUAAAAGAGCAUUAUUAUUUAGUAUACUUAAAGAGUUGAUUGGAUUGCAAGUUAUACUAUUGUCAUACUUGUAAAGGCAAUCUGUCAUUGUUGUACAUUCUUCAAUAUUGUUGCUGAAUACUUUCUUUCACGGAGUGUGAAAAGAAAGGGGAUUAGAAUCACUUGGAAAUGUGUUUUCCAAGAGUGAAUAAGAAUUAGGGAGUGUGUAAGGUACAUAGAAAUCUCGGGGUAAGAUAUUGUAAUAACAACUCAUAAUUCUUAGUGAAGAAAUCUCUUGUGAUACAAGAGUACUGGACAUAGCCUUCGGUGAACAAGAAUGUGAACCAGUAUAAAAUCCUUGUGUACUCUCUUCUCCCUUAUCUCUUUCAUUUGAUCUUGAUUAUUUUUCUGCAUAUAUUUUCCGCUGCAUGUUAACUCUUGAUUUUGCUGAAAAAGUGGCCAUAAUAUUUAAGUCAACUAAUUCACCCCCUUCUUAGUUGCAACCUCGUUCUUACAAAAAAUUGGUUACAUGUGAGAGGGAAAGGGUUUGUAUGAAUCAGAGAUGGUAAAAAUGGCAAACAUGAAGAAAAAAACUUAUUAGUUGUUACUUGAUACCAUGAAGUACAAACAUGACCAUCAAAUCAAUAUUAUAUAUUAAAAAUAGAGCUUAUUAGUUGUUAGUAAAACAAAUUUGCCAUUUUAAAUCCACCAACAAGGGAUUUGUAACUUUCUCUCAAGUGCAGUUUCUUUUCAACUUGAACAGAUUAACCAUAACAGAAAAACCAGAAUAGAUUAAACCUGCCAUCAAGAUAGAAAAUUAACCAGCAUUAUUUCUAGAACAGUGGUUUAUUUUAUUCAAGAACAGAUUAACCAGUGUGUUCUGUUGGUUUUUUCUGGAAGAGAUUAUGCAGCGUUUUUUUUUGGUUUAAUAUGUUCUGUUCUGGUUUCAAAACAAAUAAUUAAACCAUGAGACAGCAGUACAGUAGACUGGACACAUCUAAGUACAAAUUUUGCAAUGCAUAAAGAAUCUAUAUGAUAAGAAGGAAGACUUAGCAGGGAAAAAAAGAUUAUAGCUGCUUCCAAAAGAGAUUAAAGGCCAAAAAUUGAAUAUCCAAAAGCAUUCACUUCAGCUUUCAAAAGCUGUUUUUUCUUUUCUAUUUUACUCUGUUUUUUAUGUGUUGUGUGGUGAAAACAGUGUCUAGGUAACAUAUUAAAGCAAAUAGAGCUACCAAAUAUAGAUAUAUAAGAUAAGUUAAACUUUUGAAACAAUGAUAUAUAUUCAAGCAAAUGGUGAACUUUAAUCAACUUAUUAUAAUAAUCAAAUUACAUCAACUUAGGAUGCAUCUCUCAACCUAAUUGGAUGUAUGAGUUUUGUUACCAUUUCUUUUUCUUUUGAGCAUUAUCGGUACCUACUGUGCAGAAGAUCUUUGCUCCUGACCUUGGCAUGGUUUUGAUGAAGACACUAAAAUCACCAAAAAGAAGAAAAGGAAGAAUACUCAUAAAGACAAUUAAGAUUCAAGUUUCAAGAUAUUCAAGACUUGUAGUGUAAGUCUAAAAUAGGUACGGGUACUUCUAUCAUAUACUCUUGAUUAUACAAUAGUAGUAAUGUUCAAACUAUUUUUAUAAGAAAAUUGAAACUCUUUAAAAUACUUAAAACAAUUUUCAAAAAUAGUGUGUAACGGUUACUGCAUCUAAGUAACAGGUUACACGUGUGAGAAAAGAGUUAUCCAACUUAAAACUGACCAGAGUAAUCCAUUACUGUCUUUGAGUAACAAAUUACCAGUGUUAUCUGAUUACUCAACUUGUUGUAAUCGAUUACUCUAAUUCGAAAAUAAAUGAUUAGUGGACUGAACAUUUGAGUAAUCGAUUACUCAAUGCUGUAAUCAAUUACUGAGAGUUGUUGCAUCAUAUUUUCAAAUUCAAAGUGAAUGAGUUUCAACCCAAAAGACAUAUUUUCAUUCCAAUCAAUUCCUAUCCUUUCAAAGAGACAUUUUGGCUGAUUGGAAAGCCUAUAUAAAGGCAUUGAAACUCACAAUCACAACACACAACAUAUACACAACUCUCAUACAAAUUUCAAAAGCUCUUACACAUAUUCUGAAAUUAUUCUCUACACUUUUAGCAACAAGUUCUUAAACUUUCAAAGUUAAUUUUUCUGAAGUUGCAUAAAGUGAAAGUGUUUCAAGUUUACAAACAUAUAAAGAACAUUAUUACUAAGUAUACAAAAGAGUUGAUUGGAUUGCAAGUUACAUCACUUUCAUACUUGUAAAGGCAAUUCCGUCAUUGUUGAACAUUCUUUAUUAUUAUUGCAGAAUACUUUCUUUCACGGGAUGUAAUAAGAAAGGGGAUUAGAAUUACUUGGAUAUGUGUUUUCCAAAAGUGAAUAAGGAUUAAGGAGUGUGUAAGGUACAUAGAGAUCUCGGGGUGAUAUAUUAUAAUUGCAACUCAUAAUCUUUAGUGGAAAAAUCUCUUGUGCUGCAAGAGUACCGAACGUAGCCUUUGGUAGACAAGAAGGUGAACCAAUAUAAAAAUCAUUGUGUAUUCUCUUCUCCCUUAUCUCUUUGAUUUUACUUAUUAGUUUUCUCCAUAUAUUUUCCGCUGCACUUUAACUCUUGAUUUUGCAGAAAAAGUAACCAUUAUUUUAAGAUUGAUGAAGCAUGUCUAAACAUGACAUUCAUCUCUCAAAUAGAGCCCUCCAAGAUUGAUGAAGCAAUCGAGGAUGAAAACUGGAUUCUUACUAUGCAAGAAGAAUUAAACCAGUUUGAGAGAAAUGAAGUUUGGGAACUUGUUCCUAGACCGAAAAACAGGUAUGUUAUUGGAACUCAGUGGGUAUUUCGAAAUAAAUCUGAUGAAAAUGGUAUUAUAGUUAGAAAUAAAGCUAGACUAGUAGCCUAAGGAUACAAUCAGGAAGAAUGUAUAGACUUUGAUGAAACCUUCGCUCCGGUUGCUAGACUUGAAACUAUUAAGCUACUACUUGCAUAUGUCUGUUCAUUGAAUUUUCUGUUAUAUCAAAUGGACGUAAAGAGUGCUUUCCUCAACGACUAUAUUUAAGAAGAAGUGUUUGUUGAACAACCUUCUGGUUUUGAAGAUUACAAACAUCCUUCUUAUGUGUACAAAUUAAAGAAAGCCCUCUAUGGCUUAAAACAAACUCCUCGUGCAUGGUAUGAUCGUCUAACUAAAUUUCUACUUGAAAAAAGGUUUCAACAAAGGAAAGGUCGAUAUUAUACUCUUUAUAUAAAGAAUAAAUCAUCAUAAUCUACUUGUUCAAAUUUACGUAGAUGAUAUUAUUUUUUGUUCUACAAAUGAGGUUUUGUGUAGUGAAUUUAGCCAAAUGAUACAUGGAGAGUUUGAAAUGUCCAUGAUGGGGAAGUUAAAUUACUUCCUUGGAAUUCAAAUCAAACAACUUGAUAAUGGAAUUUUCGUAAGUUAAUCCAAGUAUUACAGAGACUUGCUAAAAAGAUUUGACAUGGAGGGCUGCAAGCCAAUAGCUAUUCCUAUGGUAUCCGGUAAUUUCAUUGAUACAAAUCAAGUAAGAAAAAGCAUUGAAAUAUCAAAGUAUCGAGGUAUGAUUGGAUCUCUUUUAUAUUUAACUGUCAGUAGACCUGAUAUCAUGUUUAGUGUAUGUCUGUGUGCACGCUAUAAAUCUAAACCAAAAGAAUCACACUUAGUUGUCGUUAAGAGAAUCAUGAAAUAUCUUACGGGUACAUCUAACGUUGGGAUGUGGUAUCCAAAAGGAAGUAUAUAUGAUCUGGUUGGUUAUUCGAAUUCAGAUUUUGCUGGGUGCAAAUCUGAAAGGAAAAGUACAAGUGAUACUUGUCAUAUUUUGGGAAAUGCUUUAGUCUCUUGGUCUUGCAAGAAACAAGCAUGUGUUCUCCUAAGCACUGCUGAAGCUGAAUAUAUAGCAACAGAUAGUUGUAGUGCCUAAGUGUUGUGGCUCAAACAACAAUUACGAGGUUAUGGCUUAGACUUGGGGUGCAUUCCUUUAAAAUGUGACAAUACAAGUGCUAUAAACCUCACAAAGAAUCUUGUUAUGCAUUCUAAAACCAAACACAUUGAUAUAAGACAUCACUUCCUUAGGAACCAUGUCCAACAGAAGGAUGUGUCUGUAAAAUUUGUUGAUACUCACAACCAACUAGCAGAUAUAUUCACUAAAUCAUUGGCAAAAUAACCUUUUUACAAAAUUAGACGAGAAUUAGGCACUCUUGAUGAAGCAUACUUAUCUUAAAUGCUUAUAUAUGAUUAUAUGUGUGCUUCAUUAUAUCUAUUUCAUGCCUACUUGAACUUAAAUAUGUUUAUUUAUGUUUAAAAAUUUCAAUUUUUGGGUUAAAAAUCAUUUUCAUAGCUUAAUUUUGCCUAAAAAUAAGUUUUUCUAGGGUUAGUAAUCGAUUAUACUGGAGAGUAACCGAUUACAGGGUUGAACAGCGUGUUUCACUAACCGAUUACUCUAUGUUGCUGUUUGAAAAAUUUUUAAUUUUUAAUUUGAGUAACCGAUUACUCUUUGCUGUUGUAUAUGUAUUUUUUCUGCAUUUUUAAAACUUUUUCAAACUCAUCUUCUUCCUCAUUUUAAACCUUCAUCGUGGCCACCUCUCUCUCUCUAAAAUCUUCGCUUUUGGUCCGUUUUGAGUGAUUUUUGUGUGCUUUCAUAUCAUAUUUUCACUUCUAAACACUUCUAAACCAUCAUUUUCGUGUUUAGUGGCCUAAAUCAAAACUCACAAAUCUCCAAAACCCAAAAACCUAACUUUUCAAAAACUCAUUUCAAUGGCUUCCUCAUCUAGAACCAAGAAGCAACGCACCAAUCUCACUCAAAGGAACCAAGGAACUUCAUCUUUGAAGUCCAACCCUCUUAACUUAAUGCGACUUCUAGCAAAUGAUGAGCAACGUAAAAUCUUUGAGGAGCACUUCCAUAGUCGCAUUAUCUUCACUAUGAAAUACGGUAAUCUUGGGAACUUUGAGUUAGAAGAUUUUUUAUUUCCUUAUCUCUUAAGACAACAAAACCUUUUCGUUUUCUAUUGUGAAUCAAAUGAAAUAUAUCCUGAACUGAUAAGAGUAUUUUACUGUAACAUGAACUUUAGGAAAAACCGUCUUACUUCAAAUGUAAAAGGAAAAGACAUUACUUUGGAUUUGAAAACCAUGAGUUCAUUGUGCUUGAACAUACCCUAUCAGGGGAGCAUGGUAGGUUUCGGCCUUGUAUGCGAAUGGGAAAAUUAUGAUCGAAAAUAUUUUAAUUAUUCUCUGUGUAGAAUAACCAAAGAGGAAAUAGAAACGCUUAAGCAACAUUGCUAUGGCAAAACUGUUAAAAAUAGAGACAUAGAUGUCCACCAAUUAGAUUUCUAUGUCACUUAUUUAAUGUGAAAAUCAAUUGGACUCUGAUGAUAAUUAGACAAAUGUGAUCUGUAAGAGGAACACAAAGCCCUUUGCCAUAUGCAAUCUUCAUAACCAAAAUCCUGGAGCAUUUUGGUGUUUCUACUGCUGGAGAAACUAGGGUCCCGCUUAACCCUCGUGAAAGGCAUAUUGAUGUGGAUGUAAUCCACAAAAUGGGUUACACAUUUGAUCUUCAUGACCGGACCUACAAGCAUAAGAAAGAUAGACCUCAUGCUCCUAAACCAAAACCUACCUCUGCUAAUCCUUUUGAACCUCAACCUUCUGAGUUUUAUGCUCAAUCUUCCUCAUCUGCUGUCAUACCUUCAAAUCAAAUGACUAUGGAUGAGUUGAUUUCUCUUCGAGGCUACAUCACUAACUGGAUGGAUGCCUUUGAUACUCAGAAUCAACAAAUCUGAUUUGAACUUUAUCAUCUCUCUUCUAAGCUGAGUAGCAUGGACGUUGAUGAAGACAGUUCUGAGCCUAAAUCUUAGACUUUAUCUAUUGUUAGGAUUUUCUGGUUGUAAUGUUAAUUUCUCAUGGUCUCGGACAAAUUUCUAUUAUGUUGUUUGUAUUGUUGUUUGCAUUGUUAAUGCUUGAACAUCUUUUUACUUUUAUGAUAUUGCUCAAAUUUUAUUAUUUCUUGAUAUCCAUAUUAUUAUAUGUUAUAUAUAUCCUAUUGCAUGUAUGUUAUAUAUAUUGUGCUGGAUUCUAGGCUUUUCUACUUUUUGAAGAAGUCAAAAGGGAGAGAAAAGUUGGGAGAGUAUAUUUUCUGUUUAAAACAUUUCAGGCACAUAGUAUGCUGCUCUCAAAAAGUUUGCUGCUCUUAGAAAAUUAUAUUAUUAAGAUAUUGGUUUGUCAUCAUCAAAAACUGAGAGAUUGUGAAGAUCUUUGCUCUUGACCUUGGUACGAUUUUGAUGAAGAUACCAACAUCACCAAAAAGAAGAAAAUAAAGAAUACUUAUAAAGACAAUGAAGAUUCAAGCUUCAAGAUAUUCAAGACUUUUAGUCUAAGUCUAAAAUAGGUAAUUCUAUCCUAUACUCUUGAUUAAUAGUAGUAAUGCUCAAACUAUUUUUAAAAGAAAAUUGAAACACUUUAAAAUACUUAAAACAAUUUUCAAAAAUAGUGUGUAAUGGGUUACUUCAUCUAAGUAACAUGUUACGAGUGUGAGAAAAGAGUUAUCCAACUUAAAACUGAUCAUAGUAAUCAAUUACUGUCUUUGAGUAACAGAUUACCAUUGUUAUUAAAGUAGAGUAGCCGAUUACUCAACUUGUUAUAAUCGAUUACUCUAAUUCGAAAAUAAAUGAUCAGUGGACAGAACAUUUGAGUAAUCGAUUACUCAAUACUGUAAUCGAUUACUAAGAGCUGUUGUAUCAGAUUUUCAAAUUCAAAGUGAACGAGUUUCAACCCAAAAGACAUUUUUUCCUUCCAAUCAAUUCCUACGCUUUCAAAGAGACAAUUUGACUGAUUGGAAAGCCUAUAUAAUGGCAUUGAAACUAACAAUCACAACACACAACAUAUAUGCAACUCUCAUACAAAUUUCAAAAGCUUUUACGCAUAUUCUAAAAUUAUUCUCUGCACUUUUGGCAACAAGUUCUUAAACUUUCAAAGUUGAUUUUUCUGAAGUUGCUUAAAGGGAAAAUGUUUCAAGUUUACAAACUUAUAAAGAGCAUUAUUACUAAGUAUACAAAAGAGUUGAUUGGACUGUGUCGCGCCCCGAUUUUCGGCUACGUGACCUCUUAGAGUCGCCACUACAUUUUAUGGUUAAAAAUGUUGAAAAAUAUUCAAAGCUCAAUCACAUUGGGCUUUUGGAUAUUUGAUAUCCAGGUUCGGGAGUCGAUUAUGAAUUGGGGAAGGUAUUAGCACCCCGUUCGCCUGUAAUAAAACGGUACUCUGACUAAUUGCAUUAAUUGAAUACCCUUAAUUUAUUUAAAUUAAAUUACUUAAACAAAAUAUUUAAUUUUUAUUUUUAUUUGUGUCUGACAAGUUCAUAUUGCUCCUACGUAACCCGGGUGCAAUAGGGAAAUCAAGACUACAUAAUUAUAGUUUAAAAGUUGGUAACUUGGUUGGAAAAAAAGUUAGAAAUUGUUUGAAUUUAAUCGAAGUUAAAUUAAUAAACGAAGAGUCAACAUUGACUACUUACCCUCUUCUCACUUCGAUAGAUAGCAGAAGCAGUACAAAUGACGCGACCGGUUCUCAACUCGAAGCGAAAAUAAAAAUGCAAUAUGAGUUGUAACCUCGUUAUUGAAUCACAAAAUAAUUAAAACGUUUAUUAUUACUGUUUUUGAACAAAAAGCUUAGAAAUUUGUUUGGAUUUAAUUGAAGUGAAAUUAAUAGACGAAGAGUCAACAUUGAUUGCUUACCCCUUUCUCACUUCAAUAAAUAGCAGAAACAGUACAAGUGACCACGACUGGUUCUCAACUCCAAGUGAAGAGAAAGAUACGAUACGAGUUGUAAUCUCGCUAUCAAAUUCUCAUUAUAACAUUUAUUUGUUAUUAAGGAAAUAUUUAUUGAUUAUUACUUAAUGGACAAUUUUUUUACUAAUACAGACACAAUUAUAUAAAUAUUAUUUUUUAUUAUAAAAUAAUUUUUAUUAUAAAAGGCCAAUAGUGAGAUUAAAUUAUCAUAUAAAAGGUAUUCAUUACCUAUUUUUAUUAUACAUAUUGAAUCAUUAGGAGUGCUGCCUGCUAUUAGGAUUUCUGUGAUUUUCACAUCUAUUGUUUCUCUUGAGUGCCAUAAUUCACAACUAAAUCAUACAUCUCUGCAUAUUAUUACUAUAACUAAUUUUGAACAUAUAAGGUUGCAAAGAAAAAGGGUAAUAUAGUUUCCAAAAGAUUGUUUAUUAUUUUUUUACUUAAAAUAUGCUAAAAUAUAUAACCGGAACACGCUAUGUUCCUUGGUUUCAUCCUGGGAGAAUUUAUGAUAAUGCAAGUCAUUGAAAAGAAAAAGUAAGUCAUUAUUAGAGUAGUUAUAGAAUAAUAUUGUUGAGAACUUGAGAUUGGAGUAUUAUAUUAUGAUUAUGCACAUAUAUGUAUUCAAAAGCUUGGUCGUAAGAGAGAAGGAUGAACCAUAUACCUAGACGUGGAGCAUGUGUAGAAGGCUGGAAUUCCUGGGAGAAAAACAAAGUUCUCACGGUUGUGCUGACGUGUUGAUUUCUGUGUUGGCCUGUUGAAUUUGACUGGUCUCUAGACGUUAUCAACAAGGCAGUGAAUUGAGAUGAAGGAUUUGGUCUUAGAUGACCAUUGAUAUACCUUCAACCUUAUGGCACUUUACCAAUGGAUGUAUUAGCUUUACAAGAAGCCACCCCUCUUUCACAUGUUCAUUCUUGUGAAGCUUGUUGAGUCUGAUUGGUGAUUUUAUCCAUUUUCAAGAAGCACCAUUCUUGGUUAUUUUGAAGUUUCAAUAUUUUUCCAGUUUUUGAUAACUGAUGAGUUAAAUAAAAUGAGAGAGAAAUAGAGUAGUGGGGUUCAACGUUGGAGAGGAGAAAAAAAAAACCCCAAGUGAAGAUGUGAGAGUGGGGUAUUAUCUUUUCUUGGUUUGUUGAGAAUUUUGACGGGAUGAUAGUGGAUGGGAGAUUUGGGAUGUUUUUAUGGAUGAUACUUCAGGAUGGAAGAUUUCGUGUUUGAGAUGGAGGGUGAAGAAAGGUUUUGGAG